UGCAACCUGACACGAUCGCCAGCAGCCGAGACACACACACACGGCAGCUACCGGACAGUUACGGGCUGAACCAUUAGCGCCUGUAGCCGGAGGACUAUAGGGUUCAUUACUUAAAAAAAAAAUCCCGGUAUAUUACUUUACUCUCACAAAUCGGAAAAAUAAGAAGUCUUGGAGUUGAGAUAACACAGUGAUGUACGUGGAUAUUGGUAAUAAAACUGCAGAUUUUCCGUAACGUCAACAUGGUACGGUCUCACUAGCAGGUUCAUCGCUCAAGUUCCCAACGAGAAAUAGCAUCGUCCUGUAUCUCCGACGGAGAGUUCGCCGCUGACUUGGUUUUGAAAUGUAGUCAAACGUUGUGAACAGCGUGCAGUUAGUUACUAGGUCACUCAACGAAGAUCCGAGGGCAGCUACCAGAUUUACUUAUAUGGUGUGGCUUCUAGAGCCAGAUCAUAUGGAGCUGCUGGGACUGAUGCCCCCUGCUGGAUAUCAAGCAGUAAGGCACAUGCCGGUCACACCCAUCUCCCAAACUGCUGUUACUCAGUGAACUUCUUUCGCAGUCUUUACACUCUAAGCAAGUGAGAGGACCACAUGCAGGACAACCCCCGGCAAAUAUGAAGAAUCACUGUAGUCUGUAUUCUUCUUAAACCAGAUUGCAUGUGUGUCAUGUGGAAGUUCUGACCUGACCAGGAAUUUCAGGGAGAUUGGUCCUGUCCUCUUGGAGAAGUCGUGAUCUAGCACUCUGCGGUCCAGCUGCAGCCACUUGCACUGCCCCCUGGGACAUGAGGCACAUCACAUUUGUCACUUUCUGGUGAUUUUGUAUCACUUUGUCUUCUUUGCUCUUUCCAUGAUGUUGUCAGGAUUCGUUGAAAAUAUGAAUUUGACCCCUGAUUGUUAAUUUACAUAAACCCUUUUGUACUGUAAUCCUUUUGUACUGUAUGUCAUUCUCCAAGGUGUAAUACUAUUAAAAUUGAAUUUUCAUAUA